CCCUCUUUUUUUUCUUUUUUUUUUUUUUAAGAUUUAUAAAUAAUGAACACUAUAAGCAUUAUUUACCUUCGAAGGAUUCUAAUAUACUAAAAAAUACGGAUUUAAUAACUAUAUCGUGUCAAAAGGGGUAUACAGUGGCAGUUAAAAAAGCAAUUAUAAUAGACUUGAAUGAAGAAGAAAAUGAUUAUACACAACUGAUUAAAGAAAUAUGUUCAAAGAAAGCACAGUGCAAGAUCGAUGUUAGACAAUUCAAAAUUAAAAUUAAACACAAUGCUAUUGACGCUACCUCCGAACUAAUACUAGACUAUAUCUGUAUAAGUUCCGAGAAUAACCUAUAUGAUGGAAGGAGCUUUCAUCAAGGAAUUACUCAAAAAUAUUUAACAGUAAGAGACCGAACAAUAGCAUGUGUUCAAAAUAGUGAGAAUGUCGAAAAGAUGUUAUCAAUUUCAAAGGCUUUGGAAAAGUGUUCCAAAAAUAAUUGCACUUACGUUGUAUGGAAUGCUGAAGAAAAAAAAAGCAGUCAUUUGUUAUGAAAAUAAUUCACAUGUAAUCAAAUAAAGUGAACAAAUCCACGACA
rnacentral:lncRNA from 1 species